rnacentral:rRNA from 1 species
AUUGAACGCUGGCGGCAUGCCUUACACAUGCAAGUCGAACGGUAACAGGUCUUCGGAUGCUGACGAGUGGCGAACGGGUGAGUAAUACAUCGGAACGUGCCUAGUAGUGGGGGAUAACUACUCGAAAGAGUGGCUAAUACCGCAUGAGAUCUACGGAUGAAAGCAGGGGAUCGCAAGACCUUGUGCUACUAGAGCGGCCGAUGGCAGAUUAGGGAGUUGGGGGGAUAAAAGCUUACCAAGCCGACGAUCUGUAGCUGGUCUGAGAGGACGAUCAGCCAGACUGGGACUGAGACACGGCCCAGACUCCGACGGGAGGAAGCAGUGGGGAAUUUUGGACAAUGGGCGCAAGCCUGAUCCAGCAAUGCCGCGUGCAGGAUGAAGGCCUUCGGGUUGUAAACUGCUUUUGUACGGAACGAAAAGCCCUGGGUUAAUACCCUGGGGUCAUGACGGUACCGUAAGAAUAAGCACCGGCUAACUACGUGCCAGCAGCCGCGGUAAUAC